ensembl:lncRNA
CCGGCCCCGACGUGAGGCUCCGUCCCGGAGCGGGAAGGCGGGGGGGGGGGGACGGGGAGGACGGGACAGAAAGUUCGGCAUCGACGGGGCGGGAGGUGGGGGCGCUGCCCCGCGCCUUUGUUCAGCGGGGAGAGGACCUGCGGCGGAGCCGAGACGACCGCGCAGAUAGGCACGCACCCGGCAGCGCGGCCCCGCGCCCACGGGACGAGGAGGAGGAGGGAGGCAGAAGGUCCCCUUGCAGCCUCCCUCACUCUCUCCCUCCCUCCAAGGUCAAAACAUGGCUGUCCAAAGAAUGGGAUGCUUGCCAAAACAUCAAUCUGUGCUGAGUGCCAUACUCAUUAUCCUUCCAGUGGUGGAUUACAACUCGGGUCUCCUCAGGAGGUGACUGAUGUGGAACAAACUGUACGACUGUCUUUGCUGUUUGGAUACGUGUGUAAGUUAACGGGCUACUGGGAGAAGAUGAAGAGGCUUUUGCAGAAAAAUGAGGAUAUCGUGGGAAGUGCUGCUGCUAACCAUUUGGAUUAUAUUGCUGUCUGACACAGAAGUUCUGCAGAUUACGUAAGGAACUCUCCAGAUCUUUUUUGUUAUGUGAUUGCUGAAGCAUUUUCCUGGCACAGCAGUAAUGAUUGAUGAACACACUUCAGACUAGGAGCCACAGAGCAGUGAGGAUUUAUGCAUCUGGAAUAGAACUAUGAAUGGGAUUGCAGGAUUUACAUGGAGGACUCUGAAAUCCCUCACUUCCUGCUCCAGGAAGGGGCUGUCCGCAUAUACAGAGGUGCAGCACAGCCCCUGGCUCUCAAUACAACCUUCAGAUGAAGGAGGAAAAAUAACAGUUCCAGGCAUUGUAAAAGAGGACCUUCUUCUUUGAUGAGGACAUUGCUGAGUUUAACUAGCAGAAGGACAUGAUGUGGCCUGCUGCUACUUUCUGCUUGCCUGAUUGCCUGCUAAAGUCCAUUCCUCUUGGCACUGCUUACACCAGCUCCAGCUGCUCCACAUUGCUUUGCAGUAUCAACAUCUACCUCCUCAAAUUUGGAAGACUGGUCACCCUUUGUAGUACUGCUGUGUGGAUGAAUCUUAAUCUUCUUGAAAGUAGGAUAUUAAAGAUGAGAUAAGCCCUGGUAUCUAGAAGUAGUAUAUACUGCAGUCCUAUGAGACACAUAGAUAGAUAGCCAGAUAUAAUCUUUCUCCACUGGAUAUCUUGUCCUUAGAACUAUUACCCUGGAAACACUCCUUAAUAUUUCAAAUCACAUUCCCCUUUUCUUAGGUAUAUUCUAUUUAUCAGACAUAGCCUAGCUACAGAAUGGCCAAUGCUGUUGAGCUCUCAAUCUGUGUAGAAAUGGAUUUUCAUCUUUUGUACAAGCUUGUAUUUUGCUAAACAAUUAAAUAAAAACAAAACACAACAAAACAAAACCUUGUAAAUACCAACCUGUUAGGACUGAUCUGUCUAUAGAUCAAUGAAGUGUUAAAAUCCACCACAGGAAUUAGUCCCAGUAUGACUUGAUACUUCACUCUGAAGCAGAAGUACUUUCAAAAACACAAAUAUCUGGUUUAUUCCCAAAAGCUCUUUUUUCUGGGUCAAUCCCAUGUUUCUUAAAUACUGUCAUGACAUUGAGGGGAAAGCUGUGCGCAUGUGAGAAGUCGGAAGCUUUGACACAUUAGGCAAACAAGAAGUCAGUUUAGUAUUAUGCAUUAAUGAAAGAGAAUGAAAAUAAAAAUCAGCUGAAAGCAAAUCCCACCUGCAAACCACUUCAGCAAGGUGUAUGAAGCAAAGGACAUCUGUGACCACAAUGUCAUACACUGAGGCAUUAUGGCUUCACACUGCAAUCUGCCUCUGAGCAGUCAUUUGAUAACACUGCAAUCCAGGAAUGCAGCUGUUCCUUUCUGCAAAUUUAAUGAUCCACAUAUCUUAAAAGGCAUUUUCUUUCAUAUUUUUUUAUUUACUUCUUUUGUGUUAUGUUUUGUAUCAGUGAAGAUAGAACAUUACACAGUCAUCAGGGAAAUUAUGUUUUUCCUUUUUUUUUUUUUUUUUUGAUCAUUCAAGACUUAUAUUCACAGUAAUGAGGCUUCCAGGUUUGUGCGGCUGUGAGAUGAACUGCAUUUUGCAUCACUGUCUUCACCUUCAUGUCUGGGGUUGUUGCCUUCACCUUCCUCCUGAUACUAGCCCUGAGGCACAUGUUAUCUCAUAUCCACAUGCAUUCUGUCAUGUCUCACUCUUUGAAUGAAUACAAAAACAUUUUGAGAAAAUGGAAAAUGGAGGGCUGGAUUGAAUUUUGUAGAUAUGCAUGUAGGAGACACUGCAUGCAGAUUCCCACUUUCCUGCCUCCGGGUGGUGGCUGUAGGAAGCAACUGCCUUGACAUUUCUGUCUUUCUUUUGUGGAAACCUUAUGCAGCCUUGUUCAAUCACACAAUCACAGAAAAUCACAUUCACUGGUGUUGGAAGGGCCCUCAAGCAAUCAUCAAGUCCAACGCCUCCGCUAAAGCAGAUACCCUACAAUAUGUCUCACAGGUAGCUCUCCAGGCAGGUCUCGAAUGUCUCCAUAGAAGGAGCCUCCACAACCUCCCUGGACAUCUCUGUUCCAAUGCUGUGUCACCUUUGCCAUAAAGAAGUUCUUCUGCAUGUUAGUACGAAGCUUCAUAUGCUCAAGUUCAAGUUUGUUUAUGUAUUACCUCUUGUUUGCAACUCCACAUUCAGCUCCAACUCUAAGGGAAGGAUGACAAGUUCAGUCUAACAUAGCAAACAUAGCAUGGAUUCAGCAACAAGACAACUUGGAUGGGCUUCAGUUGGAUUCACUGAAAACUGAACAGCAAUGCUGUAAGAGGUUGGACUUCUGCUCCAAAAUUUCUGUUUUCCCUCUGGGCAUGUUAGGAUAAGAAUAUUCUGCUCUUUGCAAGAAUUUGGAUGAAUCUCAGUAUAUAGUGCUUUUCUUUACAUGUUCUGUGUUUAGAAAAACCUUUUUAAAAUACUGAAUGUAUAUUAUUAUUGUACGAUGUUAUCUCUACAAUAGGUUUGUACUUUGAACUACUGGUUAGAAAACUUCUUAAAUAACUAUUAAUAAUGAAUCAGCCAGAUUUAGAGUCAAGGGCCAAAUUCUUUUAUUUUGAACUCUGACUAUAUUGACUAAAAAUCAUUUCUAUUUAAAAGAUCCCUGCAGGAACCUUCACUGUGGACUGUUUCUCAAGGCUUGAUUUGCAUAUCACCAAGACCUAUCUUCUCCUAUUUUUCCCCGAGAUGUUAUCUCUGCAAUAUCUUUCUUCUGUACCUCCUGGCAACUUUAUAGACUGCUCUCCUAUGGCAUGCUAAUAUCAUUGCCACUAGCCAAAAGAAUUUGCACAAGACAAAGGUGGAUAAUCCUAGGUUACAGUUUCAUUUGAUAAUCAAUAUGGAGAACAACCUCCGUGUUGAACCUCAUGUAGGUAGUAAAUCCAGCCAUAUUGAAGCAUGUACAUAGUUUGCUCUAGAAGUAAUGCCUCCUAUUUGUUUCCAUGAAAACUACGACAUAUAGAAAUAAUGUUUAAAGAAAAGGUGUGCUUUACGUUACUCCAUGUGGAAAAAUUUCACCUAUUGACAUUCAUCAGUGCUUACUGAACGUUUAGGGAGACUAAGAAGUGAGUAUGAACACAGUGGUGGGUAGUGCAUUUCAACAGUAGCAACAGAAACGGUGGCUCACCUAUGCUGGUGCAGAUUUUUAUGACUAUGGCAUGUAAUUUCUUGUUCAUCACAGUAAAAAUGCAUAUCUCAUGGUGGUGAUUAUGUUGAAAAAUAGUGUUUUGUAGCCGAGAAUCUGCUCUGUCAAAUAGUGUUAUUGUGCUCUUUGUAUCCAUUGUAGUUUCCAUGGAAAUAAGUAGGAGGAAUUACUUUCAGAGCAAGCAAUAUACAUAAAGCACCCCAUUGAAUUCAAUAGGAAUAUUGACAUAAGGAAGGAAUGUAGGGCUAAGCCUUUGAUUCCUGUAGAAUUCUUCUUUAACCAAACAAAAUAUUAUUCUGUGUUUGGAUUAUGUUCAAUUAGAACUUAGAAAUUAUUGUUUGUCUGUGAGAUGCCAUUCACAUGACUAUCUUCUCAUAAGUGAUUUAUACUACAUGCUCUUAGGACUAUGUCAUGUGAAAAGUGAAAUAUUUAGAUAGCCAAAUAUCUGACACAAAAGUAUAUGACAAUCACACACACACAACUGAAAGUCCAAGAAAUCACAUCACCCAAAUUGCUCAUAUCUUUCUCUCUCACUGUUUGUGUUGGUUUCCUUUCAGUAGAUACAACUGCAGAUCUUUGGCCUGUGCCACAUGUCAAAUAAGGAUAAGAACCUUCCCCAUGGAAGUCAGUUUUCAAAUUUAAAUGGAACAGAUAUGUAAAUUUUAACACUUUCCCUACAUAAUAUACGCAUUUGAACUGCCAGAUUGUUCAGGUGUACAUGCAAGGGGUAGGUUGUACAUGCAAGAACCCAUUUAUGCUGAUGAAGAAAAUGAUGUAUGGAAAAUAAAAUACAUUUAAAGCAUGCACUGUGGCAUGUACUGACUUUACCAGAAUAAUUGAGGGAAUUAAUAUUGAAUACCCGAUCUAUGGAGACAAAAAUACUAAAUAGCCUAAUGUCACUGAGAAAGAAGCAGAGAGCAAAGGAUUUCCACAUUUUUUCUCUUACAAAAUUUUGAUGGAUUCUGAUCUUUUUUUUGUGUGUGUGUGCUGUUUUUCUCAAACCCAAUGUGAUGACAGAAAACCUUGAAUGCAGAUUUCUUAUUGUUGUGCAAUUGCUGGGGAAAUUGUAAAUAGCUGGAGUUUAGAUUUGAAAGUAUGUAACUACUCCAUUUCCAUCUGAAUUAACAUGUAAUACCUUUUUUAAUUCUGUAUUUAUCACAGGAAAUAUUUUUUGCUUGAAGUAUAUACUUCUGGGAGUGUGUUCAUUGUCCUGUGUUGUAAUAUCACUUCUGAAAGAAAUAUGUCUUUAAAUAUUAGUGUUCAGUAGGACUGUUCUUAAUCUCUGUUAUUAUAAUAAAUACUGAAUGUCAGACUUUUUCAAAGAUCCAAAUUGGAAAUGUGCUUUUUAUCUCACUAAAAUGAGUGGAAGCUCCACACAUCAUGUACAUUUCAAAGUAGAGAACUGUUAUCCCAAAUAUGCAUUGCAAGGAUAAUUGGAAAGGAUUAAUUUACUUCAUGGGGAUUUGACGGAGAUGAAUGAUCUGUUGUGCUCCCGGGAAAUUGGGAAUUUGGAAUUCUUUACUUUCAGUGGUUGAGAAUUAUCUGUGAAGUUUCUAUGCUUGAGUAGUUUUAAGUGCAUCUGUUCUUGAAGUAAUACAAAACAAAAACUCAGAUUUUCCCUGUCUGGGGUUUAUUCAUGUUACUACAGAUUUUUAAUACAAAAAUUAGAAUAUUGAAAAUAUAUUUUCCCUUUGGUUUUAAUAUUUAUACAGUAGAAAUUCUUGUUAGUGUUAAAAUGGAAUCAUAUAUGCAUUUAUGUUUUUAUAUGCAUAAGUACACCAUAGUUUAGGGUUUGAUGAAAGCCAUCUCAGUAGAAUCAGUCCUUGUUAUACUUGUUUUAGAUUUGUGCUGUUUGAGGCAGAGAGAUACAGAUAGAGGAUUUAUUUUUCAGUCCUAGUAGUUAAUCAAGUUCCUGUAACAGUCAUCUAAUCCCAUGGUUUUACCCAAGUCGUUUUCUCCAUGUUACUUCUACCUUUCUUAAGCAAGGCAAGUUUCUGCCUCAACAUUCUACCUUUGACCUAUUUGACCUUGCCUAUUUCCUUUCUGCUGUACAGCGGGUCAAUAACAGUACUGAGCAAGCAAUCCUCUUUCUAGCAUAUUGCCAGCUGUACAGGAGCUGUUGUGAACUCCCUAGAAAAGCUGAGAUGUGGUGUAAUACUUACGUUCACCUGCAAUCAGCAAUUUUAUGGUGCUAUCUCUGAAAAGCAGAGGGGAUUGAGUGGAUGUGCCGUGAAAGAAUUGAUGGAAUAUCCACUUUAAUGCUCUCUUAAGAAGGAAGGAGCGUUCUGCAGAAAUCCAGUCCAGCAUAUAUGCUAACACAACAGCAUUUUGGUUUGUUGGACCUCCUGUGGGGAAGACUGCAAAGUGGUUAUAGUUAUACAGGCUGCUGUAGGCAUCUCUGGGCUAGUCUCCCCUCAACAAAGAGACUGUCUAGAAACAAAACCUCCAGGAGCUGUAUUUAUACAUAUAGCUUCAGGGAGGAAUGUGUUCCAGAGCCUCAUUAACUCACCUCUAAGGUUGCAAGAGUAUCCAAUGGUGUGGGAAUAUCAAUGACACUGGUACUGUGGUCCUCAGUGCUCACUUCCACAGAUGCACAUUAGAAAUCUGAAUUUCUCCCUCCUUCAUAGCUGUAUGUGAAUCUAUUUGAAUGUAGAGAUUAUAUUUCUUGUCAUCUAGUACAGUCAGGCAUACAGUUAGACUCAGUUGCAGACUUGAGAAACAAUGAAAUAAAUUAAUUUUAUAAGGGAUACUAAUUUUAUUAGUCAGUGAAAAAAAAAAAAACAAUCAACCUCAACAAAUAAUAGCAGGUACUUAAGAGUAGCUAUAUAGCUAUAAAGUAGCAGUAGGGAUAUGUAAAGAUAGUUUUUUCAUCCAUGAGACAUGAUAAAUCAGUAGGCGAUUUAUGAUGAUAUAAAUCAUGAUAACAAUCAGUGGGAAGAAAUAUUCGAGACAAGAGCCAUGAUGCUUAAUGCUAUCAUCUAUAAUACAUUUGCUCUAUGUUUAGUUGUGCAGGUUAUAAUUGUAUUUAAAGGAUGCCUACAUGUGAACAAGGAUGACAAAAAAAUUCAUCUUGUUACUCCUUUGAACACAGGAGAAUCAGUAGUUAGUAUUGAGGAAAUGUGAGUAACUAUACAGAGAUAUUUUGGUAGUGCAAAGCCUAUGUUCACUCACAAAAGUGGUUUCACAGAGGAUAAGAAAUAGCUCAGAUCCCGUAGUCAGCAACCAAAGUAACCAAGUGCUUGUCAGAUACCAGGCGCUACAGUGCCAUCAGCAAAUCAGGCUAUCUGUUCUUCGGGCAGCUGACUACUGCCUGCUAUUCACAGCUCAGGCUCCAUGUUACUUUGCUCCUGUGUCAGCUGCCAGUCUUCUCCAAGUGAUUCUCCAAGAAACUCCAUUUCUGCAUCUCAAAAUUAUCCCUGUUUGUUGAUACUGCGCAUGACUAAAAUGGUAUUUUCAUAUUUCAGAGCAGUUGAAGCCCCUUAAAGCAGAGGGCUGUGAGUGUGAAAAAGAGAUAUGUUGUUCCCUAAUGGCUUAUUACCAUCUCAUUUGCAAUUCAGAUCAGUUAUAAAUUGACUGAAAUUUUUAAACACAUAGCAGGCAGUUUAAACUAAUGAUUGUCUGGAGGUUCACAUCUGACAUGAACUAAGCUUCUGUUCAAAACAAAUUGCAAAUAAUUCCUCCCUUAGAGUCAAAAUGUCACUUUUUACACAGUGCAUUGUUGCCAGAUUUUGUCAGCUCCAUUAAAAUAAAACCAAAUAAAUAAAUAAAUAAACCCAUCUAGCUAUCCAAUGAGUGUUCUGAACAUAGGGUGACCCUGUUAUUAUCCCUUAUUUACAGUAACAGGGCUUUACAUUUACAGGGCUCUGCACAGACUGCUGAAAGGUCCUUUCUCCCUCAAAAGCCCUAACUGUGGCGAAGGCGCUGGGGUCAGUAGCAGGCCUGGGUUGCCUAGCAAUCCCCUGCAGGCUGCCCAUCGCCCUCCAAGCUCGGCGUACCAUCUGAGUCCUUGCCUCAUGCUUGCCCAUGCCUGCUCAAAUAUUUCCACUGAGGCAGCUGUGUAUGGGUGGCUGUGGUGUGCUGGCGGGACUGUGAGUGCUGUGUGGAUGAGGCACACCGGCCUCCCAGCCACAGAGAUGUGGUAAAACAAUGUUAAUCCUUCGUUGUAUAUAGACAACUGCUUGAAGAAGCGAUUCAGAAUUUGGGUUUAAUUCCAUCAGGAUUUUGAAGUCCACACCUCUCAUGAUGAUAGCAGGGGAAGCUCUUCAAAAAUGCCCAAUGGGGUCACGAGGAACUGUUUAAUGUGUGAUUGAAAUUGGAUUUCCCUUCAAAGAAUAAGCCAUCUAAGGGGGAGUCACUGGAGAAAUCUUGAUGACUUGCAGCUGCUGAUUACUAAUUUUGAAUAGGGUAGUAUUUUGCUAAUUUCUAAAGGGAAUAAGCUUAUGUAGAGGGGAAAAAAAAUAGGUCAGUUCCUUUUGAUGUAAUCCUCAUGUAUUUUUGCUUUCUAGGUGUUGGCCACAGGGAGUUUUUUUUUUCAUGCAAUGUUACUGGGUCAGGUAUCCUGGUUAGAUGUUACUUGAAAGUCUGUGUUACUUGACUGGCUGUCUCGGGCUCAAAAAAAAAGAGGUUGUUUUUUUUCUUUUUCCCCACAAAAUAGCACAAAGAACUCUCUUAUGUACAGCAAACUACUUGUUCGGUUGCUAUUUAUUUAAGUUUUCAUCUUGAACUGUGAACUGAUAUACUUUGUACAGCACUGCAUGUCUCAAAAGUUUAUGCAUAGUGCAUAGCCUUACUUUUUUGUAUUUGAUUACUUUUCUGAUCCCUUAUCCACUGAAAAGUGUUUCUUAACUGUUGCUAAAAUAUUGAGAUGAUGUUGACACCUGCUCAAGGAAAAUUUUAUUGUUGGAGAAAGUAUGGUGAGAUGACACGAUUUUUAAGUAUCAAAACAGAAAUUUCACUGAAAACACUGAUUUUCUUUCUGAAAAUUAUGAAUGCAUAAUUAGUUUUAGUCAGUUUGGGAAGAAGUCGUUAAGCAUUACUUGAUUUAGAAUGUCACUGUAUUUGUGAGGAGAGGAAUGCUGAAACCAAGUGAAAGAGACUUUUCUUUGCUAGAUGAGAACAUUCAUGACAAAUUUUCCUACUACAUAAUCACUGCACGUUAAAAAAAGAGCAUAUUUUAAAGAAUCCUUUCCCCAACCCAAUUUGUUUUUUACGGCAGAUGUUGUUUGUUAUUUGUUUGUUUUGUUUUGUUUUAUAUCUGGAAAGUGACGGGAAAUGUGAAAAAGGCAUUUCUUAAGGUAUAUCCCAAGCUUUAUGAUCUUUCUGGGAAUACCUACCUGCUUGUAGCUAGGUUUAGGAAAGAUAUAUGCACGAAACUCUUACAUUUUUCUUACACAAAUGUAUAUACAUUUGUAUAGUUGAAAUGUGACGCACUUUGUACUCUAUGGAAAAAAAACUGGGUCUCAGCUAACUGAUCAUAAUAAUUUAGAUUAACUAACUGUAAAAUGAGUUGCCUCAUUCAAAGAAGCUUUUGAGUGCUGCCUCUUUCUUUGAUAUGUCUAUGAUGUUGAAGGCUGACUUCACAUCCUGUUUGCCCUGGCUACACUUAAAUGUAUAAAAUAGUCUUGCUGAUGUGGUUUAAGGCUAAAACUCCAUCAAAAGCAUCUUUCAUUGCAUGCUGAGUGCUCAGGAGAGCACAUGGUGUUUCUUAGCCAUCUCUCCAAUAUGUGUUGUGUAUGUUCAAGACUAUAGAUCCAUCAAUCUACAGCUUUGCUCUGCUUUUUUUGUCCCCAGUCAGAAUUAUGCUGUGACAAUAGAUAUAUAACAUUACCCUUAAUUUAGGAGGCAAUUCUAGAUAAGUAAUGCUUUGAUACUGCAGGUGAUGUGCAGGAUAUAAAUAAUUACACAAAUACCAUUAGUGUCUCAGAGUAGCAGUGAAACUUUUUUUUAUUUUUAUUUUUUAUGUUUUUGAGUAAUGAUUUGUAUGCUGGAGAGUUGUUUAAGGGACAGAAAAUAUCUUUGCUGAACAAUGCUACUAUCCACCACUGUAUUAAAAAAGCUUCAAGAUUUGCUUUUGUAUGAGCCUGUGUGUGUCAUAUAUUCACAUAAGUCCUACUUUCUUAGAUGGAAUCUCAAGUGAAAAUAAAAAUAAAUGGAUAUCCUAAAGUCAUUGCAAACCAUUUGUGAUGCUUUUACUUUACAUUUUUUCAUGGUGACAUCCAUCAGAGUCUAAUCUCUUAAUAAACUCAGGCUAUACAUUGCAGCUUCUUCCUUCACGUGGCCCUUGAAAGAGAAUUUUCUAAUACCGUGAAGAUGAUAAAGAAAAUAACCUUUUUUAUUUUCUUACUUUAGUGCAAGAGGGACACAGAAGAACAGAUUCCUUGCAAGUAGCACAAAAGCCACUCUAAAGAAUUGUUGAGCUGUUUAUUGCAUUAUCUUUACACAAGAACCUAUGAUCUGUAUUGCAUGGGUCUCAAGAAGAUCCCAUGUGCAUCAAAUAAAUUCAAGUACUUUUUGUGUUAUUAAGUUUUAGUACAUGUGCUGUAGUUACAGGAUACUGGAACAUCCAAAAGGUUCUGAUGUUUUAGUUAGGCUUCAAAAGGCUUGAAGACUUUUUUGAGCUGCAUGAACUAUAGUUGUCUGCGACGUCAGGCUGGAAAUCUCCCAAGAAUGGCUCCUUGGAAAGAUUAUUGUUAUUUCAGUCUUCUAACUAAAGAAAGAGCCUAUUGUAAUGUAUGAUUAUUGGUGUAAUCCUGCAAACCAUUUACAGUGCUUUCAAACUUGAAGUCAGCAAAGGUAGUGCAAUGAAGUAUAUCAAUGUAUUACAGGAAUUAUUACUACCUUAGCAAAAGAGUGAAAAAGAAUGACAGAAUAACUGUAUUAUAUACCACUCUUUUUAUACUCCUGUUUCCUACUUACUUGAAUUAUAAGUAAACAGAGCAGGACCUUGCUGGGCAGGGACAUUUUUUUGUGCCACUGUGGCAGUGGCCUGGUUGAUGACUGUGGGUCUUCGUAUUCUGAUAAUACUGUAAAAACUGCAAUAAGCUUUAUUAACUUAUGAUACAUUUAACACUGAAAUCUGUAGGGAGGUAGUCAGCUUAAUAGUGGAAAAAAAAUCGAUCAAUAAAUAGGAAUAUUUUUACAGUUACUCAUUUUGCACACAAAUUAGUUCCUAAUAAUUGAGUGUACACGUAUGUUAUGUAUUUUGUAUUCUGCAAGCUCCUUUGCAACAUGUGGUGUCUGAUACAAAUGACAUGAGUUUUAUGGCUUCUUUGACAUGUUAGAGUGAGAGCUCAUAGCAUUUCUGAUGACUCACAUUGUCACUCGUGAUUUAAUAAUUGAUCUGUACUCUUGAGUGUAAUGAACCCUGUAAUUUAUUAAAAGACGAAAAGUGUUCCCGUAGUUAGUGUGCUGAUGUUUGACAGGAGAAGUUAAUUUUUGAGGUACUACUGCUAUAAAAUCUUGUUGGUAAAUGCAAUUCAUUUUUAUGCUUGGUGAAGCACUUUUUGAUAGCAGUCUGGAUAAAAUAUGAAUACAUAUUUGCGGUGAACUUGUUCUUGAACAAGUUUUGUCUAGUGUCUCUGCCAUCAUUUUUUAAAUGGUUGUGAAAUACACAAGUCGCCUGUAAAAAUCCAAGACACUUCCUCAGUACUUAUAGUGUGGUUCAGUGUUGGUUGAUAAGAAAUGAACAUUUGUCUCUGUAAGUCUGUUCUUCUUGAGCCAAUGACCAAGUGUUUCUGUGACCAUGAAAUUUCUAUAUCAUCCUUUCACUUAGUUACCGUUCAUGCUGUGUGUUGGUGAAGAAAUAUAGGAAGGUAUGUAUUGGCCAAUACUGAGAUAUAUAACCCUAACAAACAAGAAAAGAACUCUGGGGAGAAGAAGGAG